rnacentral:rRNA from 1 species
GAUGAACGCUAGCUACAGGCUUAACACAUGCAAGUCGAGGGGCAGCAUGGUCUUAGCUUGCUAAGGCCGAUGGCGACCGGCGCACGGGUGAGUAACACGUAUCCAACCUGCCGUCUACUCUUGGACAGCCUUCUGAAAGGAAGAUUAAUACAAGAUGGCAUCAUGAGUCCGCAUGUUCACAUGAUUAAAGGUAUUCCGGUAGACGGUGGGGAUGCGUUCCAUUAGAUAGUAGGCGGGGUAACGGCCCACCUAGUCUUCGAUGGAUAGGGGUUCUGAGAGGAAGGUCCCCCACAUUGGAACUGAGACACGGGUCCAAAACUCCUACGGGAGGCAGCAGUGAGGAAUAUUGGGUCGAUGGGCGAGAGCCUGAACCAGCCAAGUAGCGUGAA